rnacentral:tRNA from 1 species
UCCCUGGUAGCUCAGAGGUUAAAGCAUCUGCCUGCAAUGCAGGAGAGCUAAGUUCGAUUCCUGGCUUGGGAA